GCCAACAGCUCAAACCAUCCUUUAUACAACAACUCCUGUUCCACCCAGUUUUGAAACGAGCGAAUUGAACCAACCCAAAGUCUCCAAUUUUCCAGGCGCAUAUUUAACUAUCGCCAUCACUCGAUAUCCAUAUCAAUAUCAAUAUCAGCCACGAAAAGCAGGCGUCUUCCCAUAUACCUAGUUUUCUAUCCCACCGGCAAGGAAGGAAGAAAAUACCUUUGAAGAUUAUGUGGACUGCGCUGCGCAGGAUUUGAUUUUAUCCGGGGUUGCAUGAGAUUUAUCUUUGCAUCUAGGCGGCUCUUGGAUCUUGAGACCAACAAUCAAAGCGAAAAUGAAUCUCCAGACCCGUUAACCCAGUACUCACAUGGAUUUAACAUGUUCCAAGCUACGGAGUACACAACAAUUUUUCGUAGCGAUACCCCGA
rnacentral:sRNA from 1 species